rnacentral:rRNA from 1 species
GACGAACGCUGGCGGCGUGCUUAACACAUGCAAGUCGAACGGUAAGGCCUUUCGGGGUACACGAGUGGCGAACGGGUGAGUAACACGUGGGUGAUCUGCCCUGCGCUUCGGGAUAAGCCUGGGAAACUGGGUCUAAUACCGGAUAGGACCACUGCCUGCAUGGGUGGUGGUGGAAAGCUUUUGCGGUGUGGGAUGGGCCCGCGGCCUAUCAGCUUGUUGGUGGGGUGAUGGCCUACCAAGGCGACGACGGGUAGCCGGCCUGAGAGGGUGACCGGCCACACUGGGACUGAGAUACGGACCAGACUCCUACGGGAGGCAGCAGUGGGGAAUAUUGCACAAUGGGCGCAAGCCUGAUGCAGCGACGCCGCGUGAGGGAUGACGGCCUUCGGGUUGUAAACCUCUUUCAGCACCGACGAAGCGCAAGUGACGGUAGGUGCGGAAGAAGGACCGGCCGACUACGUGCCAGCAGCCGCAGUAA